UACCCCAGAAGCACAAUUGGAUGUGCAAGUGGCUUCUAUCCACAAGGUUGAAGGUUCGAAUCCUUUCUGGGGUGCUAA
rnacentral:tRNA from 1 species